rnacentral:lncRNA from 1 species
UGUAGAGGUAUGGGUAUGUAGGCUUACUAAGGGGUCUUUGACUGGAGCCAUGAGUUCCUAGCCUCCCUAGGGGGUCUAUGACUGAAGGCCAUGGAUAUAUAGCCACACUAGAGGGUCUCUGACUGGAAGGCUAUGGAUAUGUAGAAUCAAUAGGCGGUCUCUGACUUGAAGGCCAUGGAUAAAUAUGUUCACUAGGGGGUCUCUGACUGAAAGGCCAUGGGUACGUAGGCAAACUAGGGGGUCUCUGACUGGAAGGCCAUGGGUUCAUAGGCUCACUAGGGGGUCUCUUGCUGGUAGGCCAUGGGUAUGUAGGCUCACUAGGGGGUCUCUGACUGGAAGGCCAUGGAUAUAUAGGUUCACUAGGGGGUCUCUGACUGAAAGACCAUGGGUACGUAGGCUCAAUAGGGGGUCUCUGACCAAAACACCAUGGGUACUUAGGCUAAGUAGGGGGUCUCUGACUGGAAGGCCAUGGGUAUGUAAGCUCACUAGGGGUUCUCUUGCUUGUAGGCCAUGGGUGUGUAAGCUCACUAGGGUGUCUCUGACCCAAAAACCAUGGGUAAAUAGGCUAACUAGGGGGUCUCUGACUGGAAGCCCAUGGGUACGUAGGCUAAAUAAGGGGUCUCUCACUGGAAGGCCAUGAAUCCAUAGGCUCCCUAGGAGGUCUCUGAUUUGAGAGGUAUGAGAAACAUAACUCUCUAGGUGGACUCUGACUAGAAGGCCAUGGGUAAGUAAGCUUACUAGGGUAUGUCUGACUGAAAGACCAUGGUUAUGUAGGUUCACUAGGGGGCCUCUGAUGCUUACGCCAUGGGUACUUAGGCUCACUAGGUGGUCUCUGAGUAGAAUGCCAUGGGUAUGUAGGAUCAGUAGAGGGUCUCUGACUGCAAAUUCAUAGCUACAUAGGCUCACUAGAGGGUCCCUAAGUGGAAGGCUAUGGGUACGUAGGCUCACUAGGGGGUCUCUGAGUUGAGAAUAUGGGUACAAUAACUCUCUAGGUGGUCUCUGACUAGAUGCCCAUGGGUACGUGGGCUUACUAGGGGGUCUCUGAGUGGAAGGCCAUUGAUAUGUAGGAUCACUAGGGAGUCUGACUGGAAGGCCAUGAGUACAUAAGCUCUCUAGGGGGUCUCUGACUUCUUAUAGGCCAUGGCUAUGUAGGGUCACUAGGGGGUCUCUGACUGGGAGGCCAUGGGCAUAUAUGCUCAGUAGGGGGUCUCUGUCUGGAAGGCCAUGGGUGCAUAGACUCCCUGGGGGGGGGUCUCUGAGUUGAGUCGUAUGGGUACAGCAACUCACUAGAGGGUCUCUGAAUGUAGAGGUUUGGGCAUGUUAGCUCACUAAGGGAUCUCUGACUGAAAGGUCAUGGAUAGGUAUGGUCACUGGGGCCUCUCUGACUCGAAGGGCAUGGUAUAUAUAUAUAUAUAUAUAUAUAUAUAUAUAUAUAUAUACAUAUAUAUAUAUAUAUAUAUGUAUCC